ACCGUCCUUAUCUUGGGGUUGCGCUACUGUUCAAUGAACGCCUAGUGAGAACAGUACUGCUAACACCUACACAACACAUAGGCAUCCUUGGGGCUCGUUCCCCAAAUGAGGUGCAAUUUUUGGAACC